AUGACUCUCGGCAACGGAUAUCUCGGCUCUCGCAUCGAUGAAGAACGCAGCGAAAUGCGAUACUUGGUGUGAAUUGCAGAAUCCCGUGAACCAUCGAGUUUUUGAACGCAAGUUGCGCCCAAAGCCUUUCGGCCGAGGGCACGUCUGCCUGGGUGUCACGCAACAU
rnacentral:rRNA from 2 species